AGCCCUGAGGUGUUAGCAUAGUGGAUUGCAAGUCCGAAGUAGCAGGUUGGCUCUUGCCAGGGCUU
rnacentral:tRNA from 1 species